UUUUAGCUGGUUUUUGCUACAUCGUUUAUUUUUUUGCUUUCUUUUAGUUAUUCACAAUGUUCUUAAACUUUCUUCUUUCAUUGAAAAAAUAACUUUCUUUUUUUCUAUGCAUUUUUUCUUUCCUGCAGGGUGUUCCAUUUGACUACUCGACUCCAGGGUAUUCUCCAUGGGGUCCUGUUGCAGAACAAUGUUAACUACAUCUGGCUGGAAAAGAUCAUCCCAACAGGACUAAAUCACGACCCUAAGCUCCCGGAGGAUCACCCAAGGAUGGCAAAAUGCCGUACACAUGAGAAUGACUCAUCGAUAAGAGGAUUAUUUUUGGCGAAAUACUAUUUUUAUUUUAAUUUUUUUUUGCUUUUUAGUAUAGAAAACACAUACAUUCUUAUAUAUCCUUUUUUUGGAUAGUGAUGACAUUUUUGUCCAACGCAAGUUCUUGAUCUUUUUGUUCAGAUACAAAUUAAUUGGCAACACCGUCCUGUGGGUCCUUGAGCGGAUCCCACAUUAGCUCCAAGACGCUGGUCUCUAACUAGGAAAGUAAAUGCUUGAGCUUGAGAAGCUUCUUGCCCGGUGGGUCCAUAAAACUCACUCGGAUAAGCUGUAUUAUUGAACCAUACAAAACAACAAGCGAUAAAACCAAAGACAGAUAAAGCAGC